UAAAUAUGUACAUGGAAAUCACGAUAUAUUUUAGCGGAAUGUCGACGAGAACACUCUGAUGCAAAAAUUAAUACAAUGAGCUAAAUCUUUUUUAUCUAAUUUUAUUAAAGUUUACGAACAAUGCAGUUGCAAAUAUCGCUGGAUAUUUCGACUGAUGACAGGAUUGACUCCUGGUCCAGGAGGGAGAGGCAAAAAUGGUUCUUAUCAUUGUUGUCUGGAACAUGCUUGAUAUAUGCCACCCGUACGUCUGUUCCCUUAUUGAUACCAGUCAUUAGUGAAGAGAAGAAUUGGUCAAAGUUUGAUUCAGGUAUAAUACUAUCAAGCUUUUUUUGGGGCUAUACAUUAACACAAGUGGCUAGUGGUUACAUUAGUGACAGAAUUGGUGGACAGAAGGUACUUUGGAUAUCUGCUCUUGGUUGGUCAGCAACAACUUUCUUUUUGCCAGAAAUUAUAGAAUUUUUUUCUGAUGACGGGACUACUGUCUUUCUCGUUGCAGCAGUAAGAAUGAUAAAUGGAGCAUUUCAAGGAAUGCAUUUUCCUAGUACGAUUAGUUUGAUAAGCCAACGUUUGCAUGAAGCAGAAAGAGCCUCCUUCUUCAGUUUGUUAACAUCAGGAUCUGCCCUAGGCACUUUACUCACAGCUUCUUUAGGUUCAUAUCUACUGGAUAAUUAUAAUUGGGCAACCGUCUUUCGAGUGUUGGGAAGCAUGAGUUUGGCAUGGACACUGUUUCUAAGCUAUCAUACUCUGUCUUUUAAGGGAAAAAUGACUUCUACCAAAAUGAUUACUGGCUACACCUUGCCUUGGUCCAAACUCCUCUCAAAACCUCCUUUUUGGUCUUGUGUUAUUGGACAUGCUUGCCAAAAUAAUUGUUUCUUUGUAUUACUUUCAUGGAUGUCCACAUAUUUCCACGACACAUUUCCUGAAGCUAAGGGUUGGAUUGUGAAUAUGGUGCCAUGGUUAUCGAUGCUACCUUGUACAUUCUUAGGAAAAGCCCUGUCAGAAAAGAUAAUUAAGGCUGGCUAUUCCGUAACUGUAACACGUAAAAUAAUUCAAACAAUCUGUUUUGUCGUCGAGAUUGGAAGUCUCUUAUUCUUGACAAAAGUGGAAAGUUUUCAAAGUGCAAUAUUCUGUCUCGCGUUAAUUAUCGGUGGUUCAGGUUUUCAUAAUAACGCAAUUGCUGUAAAUCCUUCGGAUCUUGCACCAAAACAUUCUGGCAGUGUAUUCGGUCUAAUGAAUACCGUUGGCGCGAUACCUGAUUUCCUCUAAAACGCGAAGAUCAUUUAAAAAAAUGAAUCAAGACUAUUGGGCAGUCAGAUUUUAAACCCACUAAAACUGACAUAUUGCACAUAUUUGUAGUGCACAUUUUACUGCAAAUAAUUACAUGGACAGGCCAGGUAAAAAUGACAUUUGCUUGAAAUAUCUUGCUGUACCCUCUAUAUUUCUAGAAAGUCCAGUGAUUACUCCUAAAAUUGCAAGCACACUUCAAGUUUACUUCAAUUACAUCUGCUUCACAUUUGAUUACAUGGAAAAGUGUUUUAAAACCGAAGAAAGAUCAUUUGACAAAUAUUGAUCCAAUAUCAAUAAUAUUUAAUAAUGUGAUGGAUUGCAAUACAGCUUCUAAAAGAAUUACAAAUUCACUUACAUUAAAACGCUUGCAAUUCCUCGCGGAUCAUGGAUCGGCGUGUUUCGCGGGAUAGCGUCCGUCGGGUGUGGUCAGGAUUACUCAGAGAGAAAUAAAACAUAGAGGUACUGACUGGGUUUUCUUAUGUACAAUAUUUACAGUGUGUUUUCCGGAAUUUAAUCUUAAGUAUAAAUGUGUUCGUUGCUUCGCGAAAAGCUUUGCGGAUUCCGAGAAUUGUUACAAUAGACACCGACGAGAUACUAUUAAAGACCAACGAUCUUACUAGUUAGCGGGGCAGGAAAAAUUCACUGUAUGCUAACGUCCUCUUCGAAAAGUUGCGGUCAGAGUAGAAAACAAAAUGAGAAAUAUAUCGAUAAGAUAUUAUUAGACUCAUAGUGAAUACAUUUCGCUUAUCCCAAAAUGUUAUGAGUGUUAAAGAAUUCGUACGGCACAGCAAAUAAUGUAAAAAUUAAUAAAGUAAUAGUUUACAA
rnacentral:misc_RNA from 1 species